AGCACUUAUAUCUGAAAGGAGGAAGGAAAGGAGUGCUAGUGGCUCCCUCUAAUGCAGCUCUCCCAUAUCCAGUUCCAAGUGAACAGAACCUCUCCUGAGACCACAUCCCUCACUUCUGCCAUGUCAUGCCCAAGUCUGCAGUGAAUGGGUGGUGUCGAUAAAUGGCAUGGACUUCCACACUCAAACAUCCUCAGAGUGGCUAGUGGUAUCAGCAGAGUUCAUUUGAACAAUGAAACCCACAAGAAGUUACAGGAAACAGAUGGGAGGAAAAUAUGAAGAGGCAGGAGAUCAGAAGAGGGCAUGGUGAGUCCGUAGUAGACUGAGAGGAAAAUGGACUGGGGACAAGGGCCUGGGUGCCAUGGGGCUGUGCUAUCUAGUCUUAUAAUAAGUGUUG